GACGAGGGGUCCUAGCGUUGUUCGGAAUCACUGGGCGUAAAGCGUAUGUAGGCGGCUCUUCAAGUCAGGUGUGAAAUCCCAUGGCUUAACCAUGGAACUGCACUUGAAACUGUCGAGCUUGAAUGUUGGAGAGGAUGGUAGAAUUCCUGGUGUAGUGGUGAAAUACGUAGAUAUCAGGAGGAACACCGGUGGCGAAGGCGGCCAUCUGGCCGAACAUUGACGCUGAGAUACGAAAGUGCGGGGAU
rnacentral:rRNA from 1 species